GUCUUCUGCGUUUCUGGAGUGGAAGGAGCCUCUGUGGUCUUCUAAAGGUUCAGGUAUCGCUAGGAGCGAUCCUCAUGUUCGUCAAAAGAACGAGAUGCAAAGAUUGCGAAGCAGGAACUCAGGAACUUAUGCAGACUGCUCUCAGCUGGAAGCCCCAACUGGGACUUUAAUGCAAAAGCACCAGCAGGGAUGGAGCUGUAGAGGAGCAUGAGCACACUGCCCUGUGGUUGAAGUCACACUUUUUUGAUGCUUCUCUGACCCCGUCAAGACUCCCAAAUCAGAGCACAAAUUUCCUAGGGCAAGCCUCCCUGCAGGAAGUUUACUGUUCAAGUCCUAAGGAGAACUGAGAACAGAAGCUGCAGAGAAGAAUUGUCUGAAGCAUUACCAAUAUUGCUUCUGGGACGCUGGAGUCUCCAGCUCCUUCCAGUGUGAGUUUGUUUUUGGGAGCAGGGACUUGGCCACCCUUUCUAGUGCUGCCACUUUGCUCUGGGACCUGGAUCGAUGGUGAGGGCACUAAACAGGUCAGGAUGGAGCUGGCUCCCUCCCCGCUCUGGAAAUCACCAGGGUAAAUGCUCCUGCACUCAGAAAAAAUGUCAAAACCUUCUACAGUUUAUUGAGAAAGGUCUUAUUCCUACCACUAAUUUUUAUUUAAAACUUUAUUGCCACAGCUCAAUAGAUGAAAUAUAGAAGCUUGCCAUAUGCAGGCCGUAAACCGCUGACAGCUGAUCGUCGGCCGAGCUUAAACCAUGACUUUCAAAAUGACAGGUGGGGAGAGGCUUAAAAAACUUGACCUGUCUUAAGCACAUCAGCACGUGCCACCAGAUGCAGAUUAAUAAAUACCCUUUGCUGUGAGCACAUGCAAAAGGGGCUGCUCAAGUCUAAGAAGUUGCCAUAUGGCACAGCCAGUGCACCUGUGGUGCUGCAAGGAAUGAUGGAUCGUGUGCUCUAGCAGUUAAAUGGUGUCAUCUAUUAUGUGGAUGGGAGCGGGAGAGACCAACGUGUGAGCUCGGGAACACGCCUCCCCCAGAGGUUUUAAAUAAUACACCGAGGUUUGGGAAAUCCUGCCGAGGAGCCGGCCCCUCGCUGGGAGAGACGCAGAGCUGCGUGGUGGGCUCGGGGCAGCGAGGAGCAGCAGUCCCCCAAACUGAGGGGGUAGAUGCUGCCCUGCAAGGAGCAGCCCCCUCCACGGGAGGAGGGAGCUCCUGAGAACGCGUCCCUCCCGGGAUGGGGUCGGACUGGCAGGAAUAGAUGGUGCAAUGUCUGUGGAGUGGGGGAAGGAGAGCCUGUUGCCAUCUCUGUAGAUGGCCUGGACUGUUUCAGGGCUGGGGUCAGUUUUGGCAAUGCCUUGUUAUUAU